UACGUAUGGUGCAAGCGUUAUCCGGAUUUACUGGGUGUAAAAGGAGCGCAGGCGGCACGGCAAGCCUGAUGUGAAAGCCCGCGGCCCAACCGCGGGACUGCAUUGGGAACUACCGGGCUGGAGUGCCGGAGAGGUAGGCGGAAUUCCUAGUGUAGCGGUGAAAUGCGUAGAUAUUAGGAGGAACACCAGUGGCGAAGGCGGCCUACUGGACGGUGACUGACGCUGAGGCUCGAAAGCGUGGGGAGCAAACAGG
rnacentral:rRNA from 1 species